UACAGAGGGGGCAAGCGUUGUUCGGAAUUACUGGGCGUAAAGGGCGCGUAGGCGGCCGCCUAAGUCAGACGUGAAAUCCCUCGGCUCAACCGGGGAACUGCGUCUGAUACUGGGUGGCUUGAAUCCGGGAGAGGGAUGCGGAAUUCCAGGUGUAGCGGUGAAAUGCGUAGAUAUCUGGAGGAACACCGGUGGCGAAGGCGGCAUCCUGGACCGGCAUUGACGCUGAAGCGCGAAAGCUAGGGGAGCGAACAGG
rnacentral:rRNA from 1 species